CCUACGGGUGGCAGCAGUGAGGAAUAUUGGUCAAUGGGCGCAAGCCUGAACCAGCCAAGUCGCGUGAGGGAAGACGGCCCUACGGGUUGUAAACCUCUUUUGCCGGGGAGCAAGCCUGAUCUCGUGUGCCCAGGCGGAGAGUACCCGGAGAAAAAGCAUCGGCUAACUCGGUGCCAGCAGCCGCGGUAAUACGGAGGAUGCGAGCGUUAUCCGGAUUUAUUGGGUUUAAAGGGUGCGCAGGCGGAGGUGCAAGUCAGCGGUAAAAUUGCGGGGCUCAACCCCGUACUGCCGUUGAAACUGCAUCACUUGAGUGCGCGAGAAGUAUGCGGAAUGCGUGGUGUAGCGGUGAAAUGCAUAGAUAUCACGCAGAACUCCGAUUGCGAAGGCAGCAUACCGGCGCGCAACUGACGCUCAUGAACGAAAGCGUGGGUAUCGAACAGGAUUAGAUACCCCAGUAGUC
rnacentral:rRNA from 1 species